UCGUUCACAAGUUUUUCUGUUUACGCUCCUGGCGUUUCAUUCAGCGGUCACUUCAGGAAACCACCAGGGAACCUUGUCGGAAGUGGGAUAAAAACUUCCCUCUUUCUCUACGUGCUUAAAUCCACUGCUUCAUGGCCAAGAAAUGCUUACUAUGGCACGCCGCCGCAUGACAGCACACCUAAUAGAUGAAGUCACUGAAUUGCUGGAGUAGAACAACUUGAUUGAAAGCUCUAACCCUACUGCCGGAAGGUGGAACUACUGUGCCUUUGCAGAAACUCUACAUGAAGCUUAUCCACGAAUGGUAUGGAAAGAAAAGGAACUUCAGCAGCUUGGAUGGGCAAUUUCAGAAACUGUCACAGACCCAGAUCGAAUUGAUCUUUCAAGAAUGAACAUGCUGCUGCGUGCAACCAUUCAAAUACGGCAGCAAAAUCCAGUUGAGGAGCUCCCUGUAUACCUUCUGAAUGCAGCUGUGGACCAGCAUGAUACCAGCAAGCUUCUUCUAGGGCCGUGUGUUAUCAUGGAACCUGGAUCAGAAAGAAUUGUAUGCAAGAAACAGACUGUGCGCCUUGUGCCUGGAUGUUCCGUUGAACGUGGACUGAUUCUGUGUUUGACUUUUUGUUUCAUACUUGAUCUGGUAUCCGCAUGCGUUUGGACAAACUUUAGGG
rnacentral:lncRNA from 1 species